CUUCCACACAACAUGUCUCCUGAAAACAUCUCCCUCCAGGACAUUGUUCCAAAAGCAAGGCCAAGACGCAGGCAGAAGUCCACUUCUGAGGAAUGAGAACGCAUGCUGGAGACAGAGCAAUACCCCGACCAAAAGCAAGAUGGCAGCAACAGAUCAUCGCACCUCUGCAGUCUGUCUGCUAGUGGCUACAGCCACCUCCUACUUCCACAGAUCCCACUCAAGGAUUCUCAAAGUUGCAGGAGUAAGAUUUCUUUCCAGCUCCCUUCCUGGUCGUGGUUCCUCAUGUCAGCUUCUUGAAGUCUGGGGUAACUAUUUUCCUGUAGUAAAAUUUCCUGUGAUAGUCUUUCCUUUAUUGCCUCUCUUAUGUAUAAAAUGGCAGUAUUAAAAUUCCUUAUACUGAAUGUACUGUCAAUUUUCAAAGUUAUU
rnacentral:lncRNA from 1 species